UCUUCCUUCCUCUUCUUUGGUUUUUCCUGCCAUGCAUGUUCUUGGCUUUCAGUGUUCUUUCAUUCUCUCUCUGAUAUCCUCCUAAUAGUUCCUUGAUGGCAUCUGUUCAUGUGGUUCCAUCACUCAAAUGUGGUUUACAUAAUGAUUAUUCGUCACCUUCCUUUGCAGCUUUUCAUCUGUAAAAAUAAAGAUCAAAACUUGCUUUAUGUGCAUUUACCUUUAUCAGACUUGACUGUAAUGCACUUGUGCUUGUGGCAAUGACCAAUCCACCCUUUCUUCUGACUACUGUUAGAGCUUGGUGAACUCAUCACAGGAACACAAGAAGCAAAUGGAGAGCAUAAAGUUGGGCAGGCACAGGAAAAGCGUUCGGGAGAUUCCUAAGUGUUGGCAUGCUUUUGGGGCCUUCAUUAACACAGUUUGUAAGUUGAUGUACAACGAGAUCAGAGCAAUCUGGGCUUAAACAUCAAUUAUUCUUUCCUUGAUAGUUAAGCUACAGCAAAGCCAAGCUGACACUGGCAUCAGAUUACAUGACAAAGGCCUUCUCAAGAAGCUCCGGUGUUGGAUCAUCAUCUGUGGCCUUGGUUUCAAGCAUGAACUUGCAUUAAAAUGUUGCUCUCGAGCUUAAACAGAUGAUUCCAUGAUGUAAUUUGAGAAUGAGGAGCAGAAAAUCUAGAUCCAGAUAGCAGCCAACUCGGAACAAUUUAGCUUGUGGUGUUUUUGCCUGACUGACUUCUCUCCUAAAACAAAUUCUCAAUCAAAGUUAUCACAACAUUCAGAGAAUUUAAAGUUAGCACAAGGCUAGUCAUGGUGGUCUCUCGUGCCACGCUGAGCCAAUCCUGAAACCGGAGCACGUUGGAGAAGGAAGGAAGGAAGGCCUCGGUCGUUGCAGAGCAGCACCAUGAAUGGCUUCGGCGACAAGACAAAGAUUUGGCAUGACAACUCCACUCCAUCAGGAACAAGCGACAGGGAUGCAGCAUGGAAGGACUUCGGCUCAUCCAUGAGUGCACUCUCCUUCGGCUUCCUUGCAACGGCGAUCUUGGUGUCCAUGUUCCUAAUCAUGGCAAUCUUCGAACAUUUACUUCGAUCGAGAGCCUCUAGUCCACCACCCCAAUCCAAUGCUCAUGGAGAACUGGAUCAGAUGCAUUCGGAGAAGAUCAAGAAGUCGCAAAAUGUGGCACCUUUGGAUUCGGUCGAGUUCUCGGUCUUGAUGCCAGGGCAGCAUUAUCCAACCUACAUUGCUCAACCAGCUCCUCUCCCUUGCCCAAGAGAAGGCAUCAUCAGUUGGCCUUCUCGUGACCACCAUGCUUUGGCUUCUCCCUAGCUUUUCUCAGAGAAUCCCCAAUUGAUCCAUUCAUGUCUUCCACAAGCUCAUACGCUUAUUUGUGUGAGGCCUUCCUUCAACAACACUUUCUCAUUCCUAUCAAUCACCCCAUCAACAAAGAACAGAUAUUAAAUGGUGUUUCCCAGUCCGACUGCGUAUUCUUCAUUCUCUGUUCAGCAGAUUAGAAUCA